rnacentral:rRNA from 1 species
UUCCGGUUGAUCCCWCGGAGGCCAUUGCUAUUGGGAUUCGAUUUAGCCUGCUAGUCGCACGAGUUCAGACUCGUGGCGAAUAGUCAGUAACACGUGGCCAAACUACCCUUCGGAACACAAUACCCUCGGGAAACUGAGGCUAAUAGUGUAUACCACAGUUCACCUGGAAUGAGAACUGUGCCAAACGCUCCGGCGCCGAAGAAUGUGGCUGCGGCCGAUUAGGUAGACGGUGGGGUAACGCCCACCGUGCCAAUAAUCGGUACGGGUCAUGAGAGUGAGAACCCGGAGACGGAAUCUGAGACAAGAUUCCGGGCCCUACGGSSGCACGAGGCGGAAACCUUUACACUGCACGACACGKGAAUAAGGGAAUCCCAAGUGCGUAGSAUAGAGCCUACSUUUUGUCCACCGUAGGAGGUGGACGAAUAAGGGCUGGGCAAGACCGGUGCCAGCCGCCGCGGUAAUACCGGCAGCCCGAGUGAUGGCCGAUCUUAUUGGGCCUAAAGCGUCCGUAGCUGGCCGCGCAAGUCCAUCGGAAAAUCCACCCGCCCAACGGGUGGGCGUCCGGUGGAAACUGCGUGGCUUGGGACCGGAAGGCGCGACGGGUACGUCCGGGGUAGGAGUGAAAUCCCGUAAUCCUGGACGGACCGCCGAUGGMRAAMGACCGUCGCGAGAACGGAUCCGACAGUGAGGGACGAAAGCUAGGGCCUCGAACCGGAUUAGAUACCCGGGUAGUCCUAGCCGUAAACAAUGCCUGCUAGGUGUGGCUCCCACUACGAGUGGGUGCUGUGCCGUAGGGAAGCCGCUAAGCAGGCCGCCUGGGAAGUACGUCCGCAAGGAUGAACUAAAGAACUYWWCGGGGAGCACMCAACCGAGA